rnacentral:rRNA from 1 species
GUCCGCACAGUAAACGAUGAAUACUAGCUGUUUGCGAUAUACAGUAAGUGGCACAGCGAAAGCGUUAAGUAUUCCACCUGGGGAGUACGCCGGCAACGGUGAAACUCAAAGGAAUUGACGGGGGCCCGCACAAGCGGAGGAACAUGUGGUUUAAUUCGAUGAUACGCGAGGAACCUUACCCGGGCUUGAAUUGCAUUUGAAUAUAGCGGAAACGUUAUAGCCAGCAAUGGCAAAUGUGAAGGUGCUGCAUGGUUGUCGU